rnacentral:rRNA from 1 species
UACGGAGGGUGCGAGCGUUGUCCGGAAUCACUGGGCGUAAAGGGCGCGUAGGCGGCGCGACAAGUCAAUGGUGAAAGCCCGAGGCUCAACUUCGGGUCGGCCACUGAUACUGUUGGGCUUGAGCACUGUAGAGGCAGGUGGAAUUCCGGGUGUAGCGGUGGAAUGCGUAGAGAUCCGGAAGAACACCGGUGGCGAAGGCGGCCUGCUGGGCAGUAGCUGACGCUGAUGCGCGACAGCGUGGGGAGCAAACAGG